CAGGAGCACAUGUGCGACCGCGUGUAGACCUUAAUCUUCCUCUUGGGAGGGUACAGCUUUUUGUCCAGACCCAUGGCAAGGAAGCACCUAUGCAGUAACACAAAUUGGGAAGAAUCACGUUUUUCUUCCUUUGAACAAGAGAGGGCGGCAGACACAGUGAGUUCAGCUUGUUAUCAGCAGGGAAACGCCGCACCCAUCGCCUCUGCACCGCCACCACGGCUCGCAAGGAGCAGCACCCUGAAAUCCCUGGGAGCUCCCGCAACACAGAUGCAGUUCUUUCUUGAAGGACACUAAUGCUGCCUACACUUACAGGUGACAACUGACACACAAACGGAACCAAAACACAAGUGCUCAUUAAUUUGAAGGUGCACCGAGCACUGGCUGUGAAGACAGACCCACUGAGAAAGGCAGAGAAGCUCUGACGUGUUCUGGAUCCAGAUGCUGCUGUGACUCCCGUGUCAGGAGCUGUGCAGAAAUGCUGGACCGUGGCCCGCAGAAAGCUCUCAGACCAAGGCCUGCAGCAUGGUACAGAAAUCACUGCAGCAUCGCCCCGUCGUGAGCCAAAGCCUUGACCCACCAGGGACUUUUACUGGGAACCAGAGUGGGCAUUCAAUGGACAUCACAGAGCAGAAAACAAACCCAAGAGCACUUGGCCUGAAGGGGUGUGAAACAGUUCUCAUUUAUGGGGAAAAUCAGGUUAAUGGAGAUGAUUUUUAGUCAUCAUAUAAGGUUGGCUGGAUUGAUAAGAGGCAGGAAAAGAGAGAUAUCACUAAGAGUAAGAGGGAAAGGGGGACAGAAAGGGGGAGUAACUUAGGAAUUCAUUAAUCCAGUUUUUGGAUACUAUAUUAAAUUCUGAAAAUGCACUUCAAAUCUUUAUAGAAAUCACAAAAAGCUAGAAUUGGGGCAUUUCCUAAAAUCUAUUGCCACUAUAGCCAUUCUGAAUUCAGAUGCUUCUCACUCCUUUGAACAUGCAAUGAACAUGCAAUGAACAUAAAUCAUGUUCGUUGUUAGACUGAAGCAAAAACUAUGGUACAAUAAAAUAUAAUUUUUUUCUUAGAAUUCAGUCCUUAUCUGAAGGAACAGAGUACACCUCUAUGAAGGGUCUCUUGUUCCAACUGCCAGAUGCUCUUUUAAAAAUUAUUUAUUAAAAAUAACACAAAAGAUAUUAAAUUAUCCUCAUGUCCAUAAGUUUAUGUAUGGCCUGAAUUAACAAUUACAGAAAAGGAAGAUUUUAUGAAAAUUAAAGUCUCUUGGCAGAACCACA